GGCCUGACCCCCCUGCACGUGGCCGUCGGCUCCGGGUCCCGCGAGAGCGCCCUGGUGCUGCUGGAGCACGGCGCCGACAUCGACGCCGUGGACAUCAAGAGCGGGCGCUCGCCGCUGCUGCACGCGGUGGAGAACGACAGCCUGGAGAUGGCCGAGCUGCUGCUGCAGCACGGAGCCAGCGUGAACGCCCAAUCCUACG